rnacentral:rRNA from 1 species
UACGGAGGGUGCAAGCGUUGCUCGGAAUUACUGGGCGUAAAGGGCGUGUAGGCGGUUUCGUAUGUCUGGCGUGAAAGCCCCGGGCUCACCUCGGGAAGCGCGUCGGAAACUGCGAGACUAGAGUCCCGGAGAGGGAGGUGGAAUUCCAGGUGUAGCGGUGAAAUGCGUAGAUAUCAUGAGGAAUACCAGAGGCGAAGGCGGCUACCUGGACAAUUGCUGACGCUCAGGCACGAAAGCGUGGGGAGCAAAAGGG